ensembl:lncRNA
CUUCACCCCUCUUCAUUCCUCUUCACCCCUCUUCAUUCCUCUUCACCCCUCUUCAUUCAUCUUCACCCCUCUUCAUUCAUCUUCACCCCUCUUCAUUCCCCUUACCCCUCUUCUUUCCUAUUCACCCCUCUUCAUUCCUCUUCACCCCUCUUCAUUCAUCUUCACCCCUCUUCAUUCAUCUUCACCCCUCUUCAUUCAUCUUCACCCCUCUUCAUUCCUCUUCACCCCUCUUCAUUCCUCUUCACCCCUCUUCAUUCCUCUUCACCCCUCUUCAUUCCGCUUCACCCCUCUUCAUUCCGCUUCAGCCCUCUUCAUUCCUCUUCACCCCUCUUCAUUCCUCUUCACCCCUCUUCAUUCCGCUUCACCCCUCUUCAUUCCUCUUCACCCCUCUUCAUUCAUCUUCACCCCUCUUCAUUCCUCUUCACCCCUCUUCAUUCAUCUUCACCCCUCUUCAUUCCUCUUCACCCCUCUUCAUUCCACUUCACCCCUCUUCAUUCCUCUUCACCUACCCCCCCUACACAUCCUCAAGACUACAUACACCUCCAUUCCCUCAUACUGACAUGAUUUCUGAAUGUCUAAAUUGAGAUCCGUCCACCUCUGUCUGUUUUUCUGUCUGUAUGUCUUUUACUCUGUCUGUUGUUUACAAAUGUACCUGUCUGUCUCCAUCUACAGGUUGUCAGAGUACUGUCUGUCUUUUGGACCCGUACAAAAGUAUGUUUUCUAUUAGCAGAUGUGACUUGGUAUGGAUUAUUAUUUUUAAAGAUAUGUUUUUUGUUUUAUUAAUUGAUGAUUUGUUGUAUUUAACAGAGUUUUAAUGUUUUUUAACCCACUGUUUUAUAUAAUUUAAUUUAUUUGUAUUUAUUUCAGCAAUAUUUCCUUAAUGCCUUCUUCAUAGACAGUAUACUUUAGGGUUCAAAAUGUCUGUGUCUGUCUCCCAAAUGGCACCCUAUUCCUUUAUAAUACACUUAUUUUUGUCAAAAAUAGUGCACUAUAUAGGGAAUAGGAUGCACUUUGUCUUUAUGUUUCUUUGAAUGAAUGUGUGUGUACGUGCAGGCAUGUAUGUGCUUGUGUGUGUUUUCAAUAUAACAGGGCAUAUACAUCACAUGUUCAUAUGCACAUACAUGUUGAUAUGCGAUCCUGAUAUGUACAGUAGGUGUCUCUGUGUGUCUGAGAGUUUAAGUCCUGCUGUGUUUUUUACUUCUGUUCAUUUACAUUUUUUGGUGACAGGUUUAUAGGAAUGGAUGCUUGUGAACCUCCCAUCCCUUGAGACCACCAUGCGCACACACACACACACACACACCAUCCUUAGCCUAAUUAUUAUUAUGGCAGAAGGACUCUCAUGCUCUUGCAUUCACGGAAUCUCUCAUACACUAACAUAUUGUGUGUGUGUGUGUAUUUGAAGCGCUCAUACACUAACACAUUGUGUGUGUGUGUGUGUGUGUGUGUGUGUGUCUUUCACACAAUCACAUAUUGUGUGUUUGUGUGUAUUUGGCGCUAUCACACACUCAAAUAUUGCGUGUGUGUAUUUGUGGUAGAAUUAUCUUUUCUUUGUUAAACUGGGUGUAUGUGACAAUAAAAAACAUCUCAAUCUAAAGAGAUAAAGUGGAUCAGUGAAGGAGAGAGAGAGAGUUAUGUUUCCUCUGUCACCCUACCCCACUGCAUCCUGAUACACACUCACACACACACACACACUACACAGAACAUGACCAACGUGUACUUUGGACCACUGUACAGACCAACGUGGAAAAUACAACAAGAUUGCCAUAACAACACAAGUAAAUAAAGCAUCACACGUACAGUACGUAACUAUGGAAACAGCUGUGGAAAUAAUUGUAUCAACAGGGUGUUGUUGGUUUUUGUUUGUAUUAUUAUGUUCUGGGUGUGAGCCAGACAAUGAUGGUCAAGUUUUUUGAUAGAGGUCUCUUUCUUCAUCUGUGAGUUGGCCUUCUUAGUGUUUCUCUAAAGAACAUUUAAACAACAGAAAUUUGUGCCAUCGUCAGCUCUUCCUACGAUCAAUUAAGCGUCCCAAAUGGCACCAUAUUCCUUAUAUAUUGCACUACUUUUGACAUAAACCUAGUGGGCUCUGGUCAAAAGUAGCACAUUAUAUAGGGAGCAGGGUGCCAUUUGGGAGGUACACUAAAUGUUUCUUUACCAAGACAACUGCAACACUUCUGGCCGCUGAUACAUUUAGCUCUGGGGAGUUGUUUCCCAAGCAAAGAUGCUAUAGAAAUAUAAGAUACCAUAGACAGGAUGAUAGUGUAACUAGU